GACGACCACAUGUGAGGGAAAGAGUGCACGAUCCAUGUAAAGUCUUGGAUUGCAGGAUGGGGUCUGGAAAUGUCAAAUCUAAGAUCGAUCUUGAUGAUUUGGACAGUGCGAUUUACAAUGACAUGAAAAAGAAAUAUGGAAAAUAAUUAUGGAAGUCAUACCCUGGGUUUAGAAUCAUGGUUUUCCAAAAAAAAAAGAGAUAUCUUUAGCAUAACAGCCCUGAACAGAGUAAAAUAGAGCUUGGAAAAAUGUGAAAACAAAUUAAGAGAAUAAAAAAAGUGGAAAAACAAACAAAAAGACAAGCUUCAGAAACAUAUUAAUUUUUAUUUCAUUUCACAAUACAUUUAAAUGCCAUUUAGGAAUGAACUAAAAUAGUUAAUUAGUUCAAUAGUAUAGUUCUGUAGCAUGUGAAGAUAAAAGAACAUAACUUACUACUCAGAAUUCUUCUCUUUAUUCUCUUAAACAUUUGCAGUGUGCCAAAGUGGACUUUGAUCUGGACUCCUAGCUUCACCCCUGUCGACAAAUGCCACAGCAGCACCAGAUUCAGUCACCACCACUGCCUCCAUCCUACAGCACAACUGCUUUUGCACCGCAGUCCUUGCUGCCAGACAAAAGACUUCGAACUACCGGCAACAACUUCGACAGCAUCAUCGUCAUCCAAACCCUAUGCUCUGCCCCCAGCGACGGCAUAAGAGCAGUGAAAUACUCUGUGACUGGAGUCAGCACCAUAUCUAAAGUUCAUGAGAGAGUGACACUGCAGCUGGACAGCUUGAACGAGGAUGAACUGGAGGAAAGAGGAGAGCACAUCAGAACUUUCCCCGGAGCUAGAAGGACUUGAAAGAGGCUAUGACAAACCUGCCUCACCCCAAAAGUUUUCAGAUGAUUUGGACAUGUUUUGUCACAGUGGAAACAGUGGAAAGUUUUUGAUCAACUAAAUGGCUGCUGGACCAGAGAAAGCUAAGGCAGACUGACAACAGAUACUUUUCCAGCAGAAGCUGGAGAAGGAGGGGGAGUCGGGACCAACGCAACAAUUGCAAUUGUAUAUUUACCUGUGGAAACUAAAAGAUGAUGAAUUAUGUGAAAUGCUUGUCAAUGUUGGAAAAAAGACAUAGUUUCACCUAAUUCUGAAAUUAUACCACUCUCUGAAUUACACUGCUCAGCACAUGUAUCAUUUGGAAGAGAUUACAUUUUUAAAAUAAAAAUGGUUUCAUGUAUAGACACAAUAGACCUGAAAUAGUUAAUCUGGACAGAAAACAGAUGCACUGUUGCUGUUGAAUUGAGAAAUGAACAGCAAAUGUUUUUUUGAUGUUGUUGAUUCUCUUCCCCAUGUUUUAUUGUCUAAAAAACGACUAUAGGGAAGACAUUGGUUUAUAUGAAAAAAAUGUGUAUUUUUCACAUUCAUUGGGUGGAGACAGCAGAGGAAAAUGUUGAAUACAAUCCAACACUAUUGACGGUUACAAAGCAAGUUUGUAAAAAGGGAGGAGACAUUUUUAGGUCAUCUCAUAACCAAUGUCAAAUCUCUAUCUGAGAAACAAAAAGAGGCUAAUCAAAUGAUUCCAAAGCCUAUCAUGUAAAAGCAACUAAUAUAAUUUUUGGGCACGUGUUCAUACUGUGGAACAUUUAUUCCAAAUUGUGCUGUUGAAGAAUAGCCCCUGAGCACUUUGGCUCAUGGGAAGGGCUUGCAACCCCAUGAAAAACUGACCUGGAUCCCAGAAGCAGAGAAAGCAUUUAAGAAAAUAUUACUGCUACAAAGGUCUCCAACGCAGGGACUUCCAGACCCAGAGACAAAUUUUGUACAAACUGUUGAUGACAAAAUGGGUUCAUGACUUCUGUUGUGUUGUUAUAGGAUCAUGGGGGACACCUGUGGCGUAUUUUUUAAGUAAACCCAAUCUGGUAACGACAGUAAUGCAAAAUGCCUGAGUGCUAUUGAAUCUCAAGUAAAAGCAAAUUUAGCUUAAUUGGAAAUUGUGGGGUACUCUGAUGUGACUUUGCUCAUGCUAAGUUACACCUCCAUCAGAUGACAGGUGGGUCACAGCACGCAUCACAAGAGACCGGCAGAAUUCAAAUAAACAAACUUCCGCCUAUCUUUCACCUUUUUUUUUGUGGAUCAUCUCAUUCUGUUUGUGAAACUGUACACCACAAAACCAUGCCAUUUUUUAAAUACCAAAACGCAGUUUCUGAGCGCGAGUUAUUCCAUAACGGACACAAACAAUUCUGUCGCUGAAGAACUGAAAUCUAAACAAAGGAAUUAUCAUCCAUAUUACAACGUUAUUGCUUCGUUGGGACAAACGUGCUCUAUGAGAGACCCCCACCUUUCUAACUAAACUGGAAUUUAAAGCUGUGGAUGUGUUUAUGACUCUGCUAUGUACUGUGUUUUGAUGUGUACUGCUUACAUUUAGCAAAUACAUUCUUUAUAAGCUUUCCAUUGAAAAAUAGCGAUCUGUCGUCGAUGCAUGAAGCUUAGAUCCUUAUAAUGAUAUAGUUUGUCAAGACUAAACUUGUCCCAUUUCAUUUAAUCUAUUUGUAAACAUUGACACGUGCAAACAAAGAGAAUUCAGGUGCAGGUUAACAGGUUAGAAGGUUUUAACAAUGAUUCAUUCACACUCCCAUUUGAUUCUCUUUACAGCCAUGCAAGCUUUUGCCACACCAGAGGAGGAGAAAUAAUGGGUGAAGGCAGAGGACAAACUGAAAAACAAUAUUUGUCUUAUUACUGAAGACAAACACAAAACACUUUUUCCCACACUACGCAAAACUUGAACAUGGUCUAGAUCACUUCAGUAAAGGGGGAAUGUUUGAUUUGCUAAAUCAAUAUUGGUUCACACUUGGAUUCACUUACUUUGCAUACAAGUAUUUUCAAUCAUGUGAUCCGUGCCACAAGCAAAGUGGGCAGAUGGCAAACGAUGCCUCAAGUGGCACACCCACUUCUAAAUCAGCCAUUUGAUCAUAUAAUAUUUGAGUGACAAUGGAUCACCCUUUGCAAAUGAAGCCAUCACGCAGGUGUGACAUUAAAAAAAAAAAAAAUUCAUGAGGUGUUGUUAGCAGACAGGAUUGUCUUGGGUAAAAGCACUCCCAUUGUGUUAAUGUAUAUGAGAAUGAGAAAAAGAACAACAGUCUAACUUGAGUCCUUUUGAAAUUAAGUUUGGUAGGCCAACCUCCAGUGGAGGACCAUCAAGAAACAUGUGCAUGAGCUUUCUGCUUAACAUCACUCUUACACACACAGAGGCCUACCACAAUAGCUGCCAUCAAAUUGAAGUUGAAAUUAAAAGAUAUGAACUGCGAGGGCUGCGGCUGACUGUGCAAAACAGACUUGUCCUGGACCAGCUCACCGCAUCUCCUGGGGGGGGGGGGGUGUACUUGUGGGAACUGCAUGUGUAUGGAUAUUAAUUAAUUGCUGUCUCCGGACAGGCCAUGAUUUUAUUUUUGCUGUGUAUGUGGCCUUGUGUAUUGGGAAUGAUUAGAAAAGGUGUAAAUUGAACCAUGAAAUCUUCAGUAGUUCAUCAGAUGGUAAUGUACAAUGUCUUGUGUGAAAGUAAGAAUAAUGUGAAGCAGAACCGACUAGCCAUUUUCUAAUAUCCAUAUUUUACACAAUCAAUAAAAUGCUGUGAAAACACUCAAAUGGUUGCAUCCAGGGCCGCUGCUGGCCAAAUGGGUGCCCUAAGCAGGAUUGUAUUGUUUUAACCCCCUCCCUCAAAUACGGUGAAAAAAAACAAACAAAAAAACUACUAUAGGGGUGAAAAAAUAGAACUUUAAUAAAAAAUAAAAAUAUCUAAAUAAAUUAAUAAAUUGUAUUGUUUACACAUUACAACUGUAGCUCUCGACAUUUACUAUAACUUUAUUGUGUUUCCUAUGGAUUUUAUAGUCUCAAGCAUUCAGAAAUCAUGCAA
ensembl:lncRNA